UACGUAGGGGGCUAGCGUUGUCCGGAUUUAUUGGGCGUAAAGAGCGUGUAGGCGGCCAUGUAGGUCCGGUGUGAAAACUCGAGGCUUAACCUCGAGAUGUCAUCGGAAACCAUUUGGCUAGAGUCCGGAAGAGGAGAGUGGAAUUCCUGGUGUAGCGGUGAAAUGCGCAGAUAUCAGGAAGAACACCAAUGGCGAAAGCAGCUCUCUGGGGACGGUACUGACGCUGAGACGCGAAAAGCGUGGGGGAGCGAACAGG
rnacentral:rRNA from 1 species